rnacentral:rRNA from 1 species
GUAUGGAGCAAGCGUUAUCCGGAUUUACUGGGUGUAAAGGGAGAGUAGGUGGCAGAGCAAGUCCGAAGUGAAAACCCAAAGCUCAACUAUGGGAAUGCUUUAGAAACUGCUCAGCUAGAGUGCAGGAGAGGCAAGUGGAAUUCUUAGUGUAGCGGUGAAAUGCGUAGAUAUUAGGAGGAACACCAGUGGCGAAGGCGGCUUGCUGGACUGUAACUGACACUGAGGCUCGAAAGCGUGGGGAGCAAA